CGGGGCAUAGCGCAGUCUGGUAGCGCAUCUGCUUUGGGAGCAGAGGGUCGCAGGUUCAAAUCCUGCUGCCCCGA
rnacentral:tRNA from 3 species